CCUACGGGGGGCAGCAGUGAGGAAUAUUGGUCAAUGGGCGUAAGCCUGAACCAGCCAAGUCGCGUGAGGGAUGAAGGUUCUAUGGAUCGUAAACCUCUUUUAUAAGGGAAUAAAGUGUGGGACAUGUCCUGUUUUGUAUGUACCUUAUGAAUAAGGAUCGGCUAACUCCGUGCCAGCAGCCGCGGUAAUACGGAGGAUCCGCGCGUUAUCCGGAUUUAUUGGGUUUAAGGGGUGCGUAGGCGGCCUUUUAAGUCAGCGGUGAAAGUCUGUGGCUCAACCAUAGAAGUGCCGUUGAAACUGGGAGGCUUGAGUAUGUUUGAGGCAGGCGGAAUGCGUGGUGUAGCGGUGAAAUGCUUAGAUAUCACGCAGAACCCCGAUUGCGAAGGCAGCCUGCCAAGCCAUGACUGACGCUGAUGCACGAAAGCGUGGGGAUCAAACAGGAUUAGAUACCCGAGUAGUC
rnacentral:rRNA from 1 species